UACGAAGGGGGCAAGCGUUGUUCGGAAUUACUGGGCGUAAAGGGCGCGUAGGCGGCUUAUCAAGUCAGGCGUGAAAUUCCCGGGCUCAACCUGGGGGCUGCGCUUGAUACUGAUGAGCUUGAAUGCGGGAGAGGAUAGUGGAAUUCCCAGUGUAGAGGUGAAGUUCGUAGAUAUUGGGAAGAACACCGGUGGCGAAGGCGGCUAUCUGGCCCGUAAUUGACGCUGAGGCGCGAAAGCGUGGGGAGCAAACAGG
rnacentral:rRNA from 1 species